rnacentral:rRNA from 1 species
AACGAACGCUGGCGGCAGGCUUAACACAUGCAAGUCGAACGCAUCCUUCGGGGUGAGUGGCAGACGGGUGAGUAACGCGUGGGAACGUGCCCUUCAGUUCGGGAUAACCCAGGGAAACUUGGGCUAAUACCGGAUACGUGCGAGAGCAGAAAGAUUUAUCGCUGAAGGAUCGGCCCGCGUCUGAUUAGCUAGUUGGUGGGGUAAUGGCCCACCAAGGCGACGAUCAGUAGCUGGUCUGAGAGGAUGAUCAGCCACAUUGGGACUGAGACACGGACCAAACGCCUACGGGAGGCAGCAGGGGGGAAUAUUGGACAAUGGGCGCAAGCCUGAUCCAGCCAUGCCGCGUGAGUGAUGAAGGCCUUAGGGUUGUAAAGCUCUUUCGUCCGGGACGAUAAUGACGGUACCGGAAGAAGAAGCCCCGGCUAACUUCGUGCCAGCAGCCGCGGUAA